AAAAACGCUAGUACAGCCUAAACAAGCAAAAAUAAAAGGUUUAGUGGGCCAUUUUUCUUAUUUUGGCCCAUGUCCCACUAGAGCCCACGUUCCACGUCCCAACAAUUACUAGCCCUAAAUCCCUAAUGUGAGUGAGGUAGCGUGGAGGCUGGUUGGCGGCGGUGGCCGGCGCUUGCGUGGGCGAGGGCGACGGGCCUGGACCAUGGAAAGCCAGCGGCCGGCGGAGCGCGGAGCUCGGGAGCCGCCGCCCGCCGAGGCCCGACCGCCCGAGGGAAGCGAGGAGCGCUGGAGCGGGGCACCGGCGCCGGCGCGUCGUGCGUCCGUCCGAGGCUCCGAGCGGCCAUGGUCCGAGGAGGCGGGUGCCGAGGAGCCGCCGGGCGGCAGGCGGCGACGGGCCGCCCGAGUCCGGAGUACCGACUUCAAUACACAGUCAAGCACGCGCAGUGCAGAAGUGCAUGAGAGAUCGAGAUAGAUGCGACGGUGUCACGAUGGCCUAGCUUGCGACCCACUGGCCAGCGACUGAGCGAGCUGCUUUAGCGGGCUGCAGGCGUUAGGCUGUGAACUUCAACGAGCUGCUUGACCGAGGCCGAAUGUUUCAAUUGACUUCAUUUUGUUGUAAAAGUAUCAAAAUGAAAAGGAAGAGGACAUCAUAAUGAUCGUUUGGCUACAUUCAUUGAAAGGGAAUUCUUCUUUAUAAGGACAUCAUAACUUAUUUUCAAAACAUGGAGCAUCGGAAAGUUGUCCUCUAAAUUAACCCUUGCUGCCUCAGCAGGCGAAACCGGAGGGCAACGUCAUGAAGGCUAGGGCUGUCAAAUUCAGCACUGUGAAUGGCUUUCAGGGUGGUGGCUAUCUGUUCCUCAAAGAGAUGGUUUAUCCCAAGGCGCUGGAGUGUGUCGAUUAGAUUCAGUUUUUCCGCCACACCCUCAAAAGCAUCGAACAGCUGAGUUACCUCUGCUCUUAAUUCAUUGCAUCUGUCUCUUGUCCAUUUCUCUGGCCGCUGCCAACAUAUGCAUGUUAGGUUGAAAUCAGUACAUACAAAGGAGGUUGAAUAUACAUGCAUGUUUGAACAGGAGAUAUAUAUGCGCAUGAAUUAAUAGAAAUAUGAUAUGUCUAGUGUUAGUUUAAGUACUUUAAAUUUCCCACUGCGACACGCGUGGUAUUUUCACUAGUAUUAGUUAAUUAGAAUACCAAAUACUCAACUGGUUAAGAAGGACUACAUGUCAAAAACCGCCAGUAAAAUAAAUAAAAAUAGAUGCAGUCCUCUGCGUCUGUUUGGUGGUGUGACAAUGUGUAUUCUCUGUAAUUGUAAAAGCGAGAAAGAUGAGAAGAAAGGGAAUAACUAGGUAUCAAACUAUUUGGGUUAGUUAAAUUUGCAGUAGCCCAUUUAAUUUGCAGUAAGGGAAUAUAGAGUGCAUGCCUGCAAGCAUUGUGGUUCAUAGUUGAUAAAGAAGUCACCCCACACUGUAGGGUGAAACCCAGAUGCCGUCUUUGGAGUUGUACCACUUCCUGAAGCCAUGUAUAUGUGUGUGAUUUAUCUAGAGCUGUUUCUCUUUUAGCUGUGGCUGACUACUAUUCAACCAUGGAAACUCAUGCGUGCACUGCAUAUGGCCACCAUGGAGAGGACUCUCCAUUUGCUUUUCAGGAUUUUAUGGUGUUUGCGAGGUACACAUAGAUAUUGAGAAGUGGUGUGACGUUGGCCAUUGAUCAAGAUAGGGGCAUGGUACAUAAUUUUAAAUUAUUGUAAUCGAUGGCAUCGGUGUAAUUGCAUAUGUAAUUCAGUGAUAAUUACAUCUAAUGUCAAUAUCUUCAUGGAUGGAAGAAGCACCGAUCAAUGCUUUAUUCGGACAGCAGGAGAAAGUGGGACCAUCUUUGCUGUUGUCCAUAAAUCUUCAUUUUCUAGGGCUUGAAUGCCAUCCAGGAGGCAUGAUCAACUAAUUAAUAGACAGUGAUGGUUGAAGUUUUGAACACGAGAGAAGAUUCCAUGAUGCCUAGGUGGCUGAAAGCAUGUAUGGGUUUGAUCAUGAAGCAGUAGGAAGGAUGCAUUCUGAAGGGGGUGUGAUGCAUGAUAUAGUUUUGGACCAGAUGCAACAUCAAAUUCAAAUAGAACCACAUUGGGUAAUUAAGAAGUUCUCUUAUAAAUUACACACUUUGUUUUUUAUUUACUCAGUUUAGUAGUACCCCGGAACACCGCAGAUAAUGUGAUGAAUCAGUAAUGAAUUUAGUUAUUAAUUCUUUUGCAUAAUAUAGCAAUGUUUAUUUAGUUUAGU